GAUAAAGUGGCCGAGGAUAGGCGUUAAACUGUAAAUUUAUGGACGAAUUCAAUAUUCCUUUAUCA
rnacentral:tRNA from 1 species